ACUAUAAAAGUAUUUUAUUUAUAUUCUUUACUAAUAUUACCAAAGUCAACUUUAAUAUUAUAGAAUGCAGCCAUUUGUGAUGUCUAUAUAUUGAAAACAUGUUGAUAGUCUUUCAUCAUGCAAUAAAAAUGACAUUUCAUAUCUAUCAAUCUUAUAUUUUGGGAAUUUUAUGCAUUUCUUUCGUCUUGAUUUCUGGAUUCAAUACUAAUUUGGAGAGUCCAAUAGGAAUGCUUUUUACAAAAGACUGCUUAAUUGGUGAACCUGGACCUCCACAAGUUUGCUGCAUAUCACAUUGCCCUACAAAAAAUUGCCCCUCAGAUUGCAACGCCAAAGGAUUUACUAAAGGUGGAUUAUGUGCACCUAUACAUGGAAUGAAUAUGUGUUGUUGUAUAAAGUAAUGAAGCUAUUGUAUCAUUGAAAUAAAUAAUAAUAAUAAAAGAUAUAGAAGUUAUAUUAGAACUAAGCAUUCUAUGGUUGUGGCUGAAUAAAAAAAGAUCAAAUAAGAAAUGUGAAGUUGUUAUUCAUAUUAUUGAAAA